rnacentral:rRNA from 2 species
AUGGAGCCGACCUUGAAAUACCACCCUUUAAUGUUUGAUGUUCUAACGUGGACCCGUGAUCCGGGUUGCGGACAGUGUCUGGUGGGUAGUUUGACUGGGGCGGUCUCCUCCUAAAGAGUAACGGAGGAGCACGAAGGUUGGCUAAUCCUGGUCGGACAUCAGGAGGUUAGUGCAAUGGCAUAAGCCAGCUUGACUGCGAGCGUGACGGCGCGAGCAGGUGCGAAAGCAGGUCAUAGUGAUCCGGUGGUUCUGAAUGGAAGGGCCAUCGCUCAACGGAUAAAAGGUACUCCGGGGAUAACAGGCUGAUACCGCCCAAGAGUUCAUAUCGACGGCGGUGUUUGGCACCUCGAUGUCGGCUCAUCACAUCCUGGGGCUGAAGUAGGUCCCAAGGGUAUGGCUGUUCGCCAUUUAAAGUGGUACGCGAGCUGGGUUUAGAACGUCGUGAGACAGUUCGGUCCCUAUCUGCCGUGGGCGCUGGAGAACUGAGGGGGGCUGCUCCUAGUACGAGAGGACCGGAGUGGACGCAUCACUGGUGUUCGGGUUGUCAUGCCAAUGGCACUGCCCGGUAGCUAAAUGCGGAAGAGAUAAGUGCUGAAAGCAUCUAAGCACGAAACUUGCC